GGCUCAGUGGCGAAGUGGUAUCGCAUCCAUGCAGCUUUUGAUAUCCUUCAAGCUUUCAGCGGAAGGCACCCGUUCGAUCCGGGUCUGGGCCA